rnacentral:tRNA from 1 species
GGGGCGCGUAGCGCAGAUGGUUGUCGCGCCUCGACGGCAUCCAGGAGGACGCCGGUUCGAAUCCGGCCCGCCCCG